AGUGAACGCUGGCGGUAGGCCUAACACAUGCAAGUCGAACGGCAGCACAGAGGAGCUUGCUCCUUGGGUGGCGAGUGGCGGACGGGUGAGGAAUACAUCGGAAUCUACUCUGUCGUGGGGGAUAACGUAGGGAAACUUACGCUAAUACCGCAUACGACCUACGGGUGAAAGCAGGGGACCUUCGGGCCUUGCGCGAUUGAAUGAGCCGAUGUCGGAUUAGCUAGUUGGCGGGGUAAAGGCCCACCAAGGCGACGAUCCGUAGCUGGUCUGGAAGGAUGAUCAGCCACACUGGAACUGAGACACGGUCCAGACUCCUACGGGAGGCAGCAGGGGGGAAUAUUGGACAAUGGGCGCAAGCCUGAUCCAGCCAUACCGCGUGGGUGAAGAAGGCCUUCGGGUUGUAAAGCCCUUUUGUUGGGAAAGAAAUCCAGCUGGCUAAUACCCGGUUGGGAUGACGGUACCCAAAGAAUAAGCACCGGCUAACUGCGUGCCAGCCGCCGCCGUAA
rnacentral:rRNA from 1 species